CUUGAGGGGUGGGGGGUCCCUCAGCCCAGAUUACAAGAGGGCGCAGGCCAGGUCGAGGGACCCCACCAGUGCAUG
rnacentral:pre_miRNA from 1 species